AGCCUUGCACAGUAGCAAUAUCAUAGCCAAUGAGGCUUGUCCGAGUCAUGAUUAUUGCUAAUUGAAGUACAGGAAAGUGAAUGUCAUUUGGGAUAAACCUAUGACAAUUAAUAAAUGAGUGUGUGUGUGUGUGUGUGUGUGUGUUUAUUCCUGAAUUUAUUUUCCUUUGAGG
rnacentral:snRNA from 14 species